AUCUAUGGCCAUACCACCCUGAACGCGCCCGAUCUCGUCUGAUCUCAGAAGCUAAGCAGGGUCAGGCCUAGUUAGCACUUGGAUGGAAAAAUAUUCUCAUCUCUUCAAUUCUGGAACUUAUAUUUU
ensembl:rRNA 5S_rRNA 5S ribosomal RNA